UGGCGGCAAGCCUAACACAUGCAAGUCGAACGGACAAUUAUUUAUAGCCUCUGGCUAUAGGAAAUUGUUAGUGGCAGACGGGUGAGUAAUGCGUAGGAAUCUACCUAGUAGUACGGAAUAGCCAUUAGAAAUGGUGGGUAAUACUGUAUAAUCCCCGAGGGGGAAAGAUUUAUCGCUAUUAGAUGAGCCUACGUUAGAUUAGCUAGUUGGUGAGGUAAUGGCUUACCAAGGCUAUGAUCUAUAGCUGGUCUGAGAGGACGAUCAGCCACACUGGAACUGAGAUACGGUCCAGACUCCUACGGGAGGCAGCAGUGGGGAAUAUUGGACAAUGGGCGAAAGCCUGAUCCAGCUAUGCCGCGUGAGUGAAGAAGGCCUUCGGGUUGUAAAACUCUUUCAAUAGGGAAGAUAAUGACGGUACCUAUAGAAGAAGUCCCGGCAAACUCUGUGCCAGCA
rnacentral:rRNA from 1 species